AUUGAACGCUGGCGGCAUGCCUUACACAUGCAAGUCGAACGGUAACAGGCCGCAAGGUGCUGACGAGUGGCGAACGGGUGAGUAAUGCAUCGGAACGUGCCCAGUCGUGGGGGAUAACUGCUCGAAAGAGCAGCUAAUACCGCAUACGACCUGAGGGUGAAAGCGGGGGACCGUAAGGCCUCGCGCGAUUGGAGCGGCCGAUGUCAGAUUAGCUAGUUGGUGGGGUAAAGGCCUACCAAGGCAACGAUCUGUAGUUGGUCUGAGAGGACGACCAGCCACACUGGGACUGAGACACGGCCCAGACUCCUACGGGGGGCAGCAGUGGGGAAUUUUGGACAAUGGGCGCAAGCCUGAUCCAGCAAUGCCGCGUGCAGGAAGAAGGCCUUCGGGUUGUAAACUGCUUUUGUCAGGGAGAAAUCCUCUGGGUUAAUACCUCGGGGGGAUGACGGUACCUGAAGAAUAAGCACCGGCUAACUACGUGCCAGCAGCCGCCGUAAUAC
rnacentral:rRNA from 1 species